UACGUAGGGGCCUAGCGUUGUCCGGAUUUACUGGGCGUAAAGAGCGCGCAGGCGGUCGUUCAAGUCGCGUGUGAAAGCCCCCGGCUCAACUGGGGAGGGUCACGCGAUACUGAUCGACUCGAAGGCAGGAGAGGGAAGUGGAAUUCCCGGUGUAGUGGUGAAAUGCGUAGAUAUCGGGAGGAACACCAGUGGCGAAGGCGACUUCCUGGCCUGUUCUUGACGCUGAGGCGCGAAAGCUAGGGGAGCAAACGGG
rnacentral:rRNA from 1 species